rnacentral:rRNA from 1 species
UACGUAGGGGGCGAGCGUUGUCCGGAAUUACUGGGCGUAAAGCGCACGUAGGCGGCUUUGUAAGUUAGAGGUGAAAGCCCGGAGCUCAACUCCGGAAUUGCCUUUAAGACUGCAUCGCUAGAAUUGUGGAGAGGUGAGUGGAAUUCCGAGUGUAGAGGUGAAAUUCGUAGAUAUUCGGAAGAACACCAGUGGCGAAGGCGACUCACUGGACACAUAUUGACGCUGAGGUGCGAAAGCGUGGGGAGCAAACAGG